rnacentral:lncRNA from 1 species
AUGGUAGCGGGGGGGAUAAGACAGGGGAGUGCCUGGCUUUUUUCCUUACUGCCCUCUUUGGGGUCAGUGGCUCACCCAGCUUUGUGGAGCCUCAUUUGGGUGCCUGUCUGCAGGUGCAGGUCUGCCUUGAACCUGCCCGUCCCGUCCCUGCUCAUCGCCGGCCUGCAGGGAGGGCGAAGCGCCCGGACCGCAACUGGAGGGGACUGGGGACGAGCGAGGCAAGCGGAACUACCAGGCAGCGCUCCGCAGGAGGCUGCACUCCAGGCCCUUCGCUGGUGAGGAGCAGUCAACGCUUCGAGCUGUUGAGAAGGAAAUGGAACUGCUGAAGAUACCAACGAGAUUGCCAAGUGGAUCAAAAACUGUUUUUAAUAUGUGGUGUAGAUCACCUGAACAAAUUGUUUGGCCUAAUACUUAAUGCUAAAGAGAUUUGUUUCAUAUAAAAGAAUGACAUUAAAUGUGUUUUUCUAAGGCUUGUGUGUGUGUAAUUCUGGAAUUUAAGAAUUGCUGAGUGUGUCAGUAUUGUGAGUGUUCUAAAACAAACUCCAAACCCCACACCCAGAACAGCAACAACAAACCCAGCCAAACAAAAUGUGUGUGCACACAAACAAAGACAUCAAGUCUCGUCUUCCAACAACCUGGCAUCAAGCAACACUCCUUGUAUUAAAAGCAGGCAGGUGUCUAAACAUUUUCAGAAUGGUCAUCAUGUUUCUCUCAAACUACGAGGUGGGAAACAGUCUGAAAGUUCAUCUCUCUGAUCUUGUUCUUCUUUACGGAGAGCCAUCCUGUGGUUUAGAAAUGUGGCUUUCAAACUGAUCUGUUGGAGUUACUGGAAAGACAGUUUUGUAGGCAAACAACAUGGACCGUGGCAUAAAAUCAUGGCUCUGCCUGGUACCUGGCUCAGCCGUUCUUGCUCCUGGAUCUACAGCUACCUGGUCUCAAGGAACUGAUAAAACUAAAUACUUCAAAGAAGGAUCAGGAUAUCUAAAGGCAGUCAGAGUAAGACCAUCAUAAAUGCUGUGCUAUCUAAAAAGAGCUUGCUUCACUUGGCGUCCAGUGCCAACACACACAUCUCUUGGAUGUGAUAACAUCUUUUUUUCUGUGUUGUGCAGAUCAUACAGUUAAAUUCUAGGCUGUUUUUCAGGUCUGUUUCAGAAGAACAUCUCUCCCUGCAACCUGAUUGUGUAAGCUGUUGGCAAUCCAUUAACCCCUGCAAGUCCAAGCAUCAGUGCACAGUGAGGGUAACGUUACCCCAUAGCCCCGGCCAGCCUAGCGAUUUCCG